rnacentral:rRNA from 1 species
AUGGCUUCCAGCUCCAGCUGCAGGGCAUGGCAUUGCUUGCUUGCCCUCUUCCUCCUCUCCUCCACCGUGUACGGGCAGCUCUCGCCGUCGUUCUACGACAAGAGCUGCCCGACGCUGCAGCGCACCGUGCGUGCCACGGUGACAAAGGCCCUCCGCGCCGAGCGCCGAAUGGGUGCCUCCCUCCUUAGGCUCCACUUCCACGACUGCUUUGUUCAGGGUUGCGACGGAUCCAUUCUCUUGGAUGACGUGGCUGGUAGCUUUGUGGGCGAGAAGACCGCCUUUCCCAACGUGAAUUCGGUGCGGGGCUAUGAGGUGAUCGACCAGAUCAAGAAGGACGUGGAGUUGGCCUGCCCCGGCGUCGUCUCCUGCGCCGACAUCGCCGCCCUCGCAGCACGGGACGGCACUUCUCUGCUAGGCGGGCCCAGCUGGGCGGUGCCGCUCGGCCGGCAGGACUCCACGACGGCGAACAUGAUGGAGGCGAACACCGACCUCCCGGCGCCCAGCUUAAACCUGGACGGGCUCAUCGCCGCGUUCGCCAAGAAGCAGCUGAGCCCGCGCGACCUCACGGCGCUCUCCGGCGCGCACACCGUCGGCUUCUCGCAGUGCCAGAACUUCCGUGGCCACAUAUACAACGACACCGACAUCGACCCGGCGUUCGCCACGCUGCGCCAGCGCACCUGCCCCGCCGCGGCCCCCACCGGCGACACCAACCUGGCACCGUUCGACGUGCAGACGCCGCUCGUCUUCGACAACGCCUACUACCGCAACCUCGUGGCCAGGCGCGGCCUGCUGCACUCGGACCAGGAGCUCUUCAACGGCGCCUCUCAGGACGCGCUGGUCAGCCAGUACGCCGCCAACCGGGCGCUCUUCGUGGCCGACUUCGCGACGGCCAUGAUCAAGAUGGGGAACCUCGCCCCGCCCACGGGAGCCGUCACCCAGAUCAGGCGCAACUGCAGGGUCGUCAACAGCUGA